rnacentral:rRNA from 1 species
UAGAGUUUGAUCCUGGCUCAGCUUGAACGCUGGCGGCAUGCCUUACACAUGCAAGUCGGACGGCAGCGCGGGCUUCGGCCUGGCGGCGAGUGGCGAACGGGUGAGUAAUACAUCGGAACAUGUCCAGUANNNNNNGAUAGCCCGGCGAAAGCCGGAUUAAUACCGCAUACGAUCUGUGGAUGAAAGCGGGGGAUCGCAAGACCUCGCGCUAUUGGGGUGGCCGAUGGCGGAUUAGCUAGUUGGUGGGGUAAAGGCCUACCAAGGCGACGAUCCGUAGCUGGUCUGAGAGGACGACCAGCCACACUGGGACUGAGACACGGCCCAGACUCCUACGGGAGGCAGCAGUGGGGAAUUUUGGACAAUGGGCGCAAGCCUGAUCCAGCAAUGCCGCGUGUGUGAAGAAGGCCUUCGGGUUGUAAAGCACUUUUGUCCGGAAAGAAAUCCUUUUCGAUAAUACCGAGAGGGGAUGACGGUACCGGAAGAAUAAGCACCGGCUAACUACGUGCCAGCAGCCGCGGUAAUACGUAGGGUGCGAGCGUUAAUCGGAAUUACUGGGCGUAAAGCGUGCGCAGGCGGUGAUGCAAGACCGAUGUGAAAUCCCCGGGCUUAACCUGGGAACUGCAUUGGUGACUGCAUCGCUAGAGUAUGGCAGAGGGGGGUAGAAUUCCACGUGUAGCAGUGAAAUGCGUAGAGAUGUGGAGGAAUACCGAUGGCGAAGGCAGCCCCCUGGGUCAAUACUGA